GCGUUGUCCGGAAUUAUUGGGCGUAAAGAGAACGUAGGCGGUUUGCCAAGUUUGAUCUUAAAGACCGGGGCUUAACUCCGGGAGUGGAUCGAAAACUGGCAGACUAGAGGACGUCAGAGGAAAGUGGAAUUCCCAGUGUAGCGGUGAAGUGCGUAGAUAUUGGGAGGAACACCAGUGGCGAAAGCGACUUUCUGGGACGUUCCUGACGCUGAGGUUCGAAAGCUCG
rnacentral:rRNA from 1 species